rnacentral:rRNA from 1 species
GAUGAACGCUGGCGGCGUGCCUAAUACAUGCAAGUCGAGCGAACAGACGAGGAGCUUGCUCCUCUGACGUUAGCGGCGGACGGGUGAGUAACACGUGGAUAACCUACCUAUAAGACUGGGAUAACUUCGGGAAACCGGAGCUAAUACCGGAUAAUAUAUUGAACCGCAUGGUUCAAUAGUGAAUGACGGUUUUGCUGUCACUUAUAGAUGGAUCCGCGCCGCAUUAGCUAGUUGGUACGGUAACGGCUUACCAAGGCGACGAGGCGUAGCCGACCUGAGAGGGUGAUCGGCCACACUGGAACUGAGACACGGUCCAGACGCCUACGGGAGGCAGCAGUAGGGAAUCUUCCGCAAUGGGCGAAAGCUUGACGGAGCAACGCCGCGUGAGUGAUGAAGGUCUUCGGAUCGUAAAACUCUGUUAUUAGGGAAGAACAAAUGUGUAAGUAACUAUGCACGUCUUGACGGUACCUAAUCAGAAAGCCACGGCUAACUACGUG